AACAGGAUUAGAUACCCUGGUAGUCCACGCUGUAAACGAUGUCGACUUGGAGGUUGUGCCCUUGAGGCGUGGCUUCCGGAGCUAACGCGUUAAGUCGACCGCCUGGGGAGUACGGCCGCAAGGUUAAAACUCAAAUGAAUUGACGGGGGCCCGCACAAGCGGUGGAGCAUGUGGUUUAAUUCGAUGCAACGCGAAGAACCUUACCUACUCUUGACAUCCAGAGAAUUUGCUAGAGAUAGCUUAGUGCCUUCGGGAACUCUGAGACAGGUGCUGCAUGGCGGUCGUCAGCUCGUGUUGUGAAAUGUUGGGUUAAGUCCCGCAACGAGCGCAACCCUUAUCCUUUGUUGCCAGCACGUAAUGGUGGGAACUCAAAGGAGACUGCCGGUGAUAAACCGGAGGAAGGUGGGGAUGACGUCAAGUCAUCAUGGCCCUUACGAGUAGGGCUACACACGUGCUACAAUGGCAUAUACAAAGAGAAGCGAACUCGCGAGAGCAAGCGGACCUCAUAAAGUAUGUCGUAGUCCGGAUUGGAGUCUGCAACUCGACUCCAUGAAGUCGGAAUCGCUAGUAAUCGUAGAUCAGAAUGCUGCGGUGAAUACGUUCCCGGGCCUUGUACACACCGCCCGUCACACCAUGGGAGUGGGUUGCAAAAGAAGUAGGUAGCUUAACCUUCGGGAGGGCGCUUACCACUUUGUGAUUCAUGACUGGGGUGAAGUCGUAACAAGGUAACC
rnacentral:rRNA from 1 species